rnacentral:rRNA from 1 species
AAUAGAUACCCGGGUAGUCCACGCCGUAAACGAUGAGUGCUAGGUGUCACGGGCUUUGACCCUCGUGGUGCCGCAGCUAACGCAAUAAGCACUCCGCCUGGGGAGUACGGCCGCAAGGCUAAAACUCAAAGGAAUUGACGGGGGGCCCGCACAAGCGGUGGAGCAUGUGGUUUAAUUCGACGCGACGCGCAGAACCUUACCUGGGCUAGAAACGUAGGAACCUGGGUGAAACUCGGGGUGCUCUUCGGAGAAUCUACGGUUAGGUGUUGCAUGGCUGUCGUCAGCUCGUGUCGCGAGAUGUUGGGUUAAGUCCCGCAACGAGCGCAACCCUUGUCGUUAGUUGCCAGCAUUGAGUUGGGCACUCUAACGAGACUGCCGACUUUCAAGUCGGAGGAAGGUAGGGAUGACGUCAAGUCCUCAUGGCCCCUAUGUCCAGGGCUACACACGUGCUACAAUGGUCGGUACAAAGGGCUGCGAAACCGCGAGGUGGAGCCAAUCCCAAAAAACCGGCCUCAGUACGGAUUGGAGUCUGCAACUCGACUCCA